UUUGUACACACCGCCCGUCACACCAUGAGAGUUUGUAACACCCGAAGCCGGUGGAGUAACCCGUAAGGGAGCUAGCCGUCUAAGGUGGGACAGAUGAUUAGGGUGAAGUCGUAACAAGGUAGCCGUAGGAGAACCUGCGGCUGGAUCACCUCCUUUCUAAGGAAAAGGUUAAUUGGGGUUAAAGCCAAUUAGCUAACGGAACCUGCCAUGAAACUUUGUUCAGUUUUGAGAGGUCUACUCUCAAGAUUCGUUCUUUGAAAACUGGAUACUAUUUGAAACUGUAACAAACCGAGAAACACACACAAGUAACUUUGUGAUGACGACCUGAAGACUUCGUCUUCAAUGGUCAAGUUAUAAAGGGCGCACGGUGGAUGCCUUGGCACUAGGAGCCGAUGAAGGACGGGACGAACACCGAUAUGCUUCGGGGAGCUGUAAGUAAGCAAUGAUCCGGAGAUUUCCGAAUGGGGGAACCCAAUCAUCCGUAGGAUGAUGACAGCUUAGUGAAUACAUAGCUAAGUUGAGGCAGACGCGGGGAACUGAAACAUC
rnacentral:misc_RNA from 1 species